rnacentral:rRNA from 1 species
UACGUAGGGGGCAAGCGUUGUCCGGAUUCAUUGGGCGUAAAGAGCGUGUAGGCGGCCAGGUAGGUCGGUUGUGAAAACUGGAGGCUCAACCUUCAGAGGUCGACCGAAACCAUCUGGCUAGAGUCCGGGAGAGGAGAGUGGAAUUCCUGGUGUAGCGGUGAAAUUCGUAGAUAUUAGGAAGAACACCAGUGGCGAAGGCGGCCAACUGGCCCGAUACUGACGCUCAUGUGCGAAAGCGUGGGGAGCAAACAGG